CGGGUGAGUAAUGCGUGACCAACCUGCCCCAUGCUCCAGAAUAGCUCUUGGAAACGGGUGGUAAUGCUGGAUGCUCCAACUUGACGCAUGUCUUGCUGGGAAAGUGUUUAGUGGCAUGGGAUGGGGUCGCGUCCUAUCAGCUUGUAGGCGGGGUAAUGGCCCACCUAGGCUUCGACGGGUAGCCGGCCUGAGAGGGCGGACGGCCACAUUGGGACUGAGAUACGGCCCAGACUCCUACGGGAGGCAGCAGAA
rnacentral:rRNA from 1 species